rnacentral:rRNA from 1 species
GACGAACGCUGGCGGCGUGCCUAAUACGUGCAAGUCGAGCGAAUCAAUAGGAGCUUGCUCCUGUUGGUUAGCGGCGGACGGGUGAGUAACACGUGGGCAACCUGCCUGUAAGACUGGGAUAACACCGGGAAACCGGUGCUAAUACCGGAUAAUCCUUUUCCUCUCAUGAGGAAAAGCUGAAAGUCGGUUUCGGCUGACACUUACAGAUGGGCCCGCGGCGCAUUAGCUAGUUGGUGAGGUAACGGCCCACCAAGGCGACGAUGCGUAGCCGACCUGAGAGGGUGAUCGGCCACACAGGGACUGGGACACGGCCCAGACUCCUACGGGAGGCAGCAGUAGGGAAUCUUCCGCAAUGGACGAAAGUCUGAUGGAGCAACGCCGCGUGAGUGAUGAAGGCCUUCGGGUCGUAAAGCUCUGUUGUUAGGGAAGAACAAGUACCGGAGUAACUGCCGGUACCUUGACGGUACCUAACCAGAAAGCCACGGCUAACUACGUGCCAGCAGCCGCCGUAACAC